AACUAAAGGUGAGAGCGUUUACAGAUACAACUGUUAUACAUGCAGUCACUUUCAUCAACCUGCAAUUCACUGUCUUCUCUCUUUUGACUUUUCAGGCAACAAAACACAGACGGACAAAAACAUUGCGGAGCAUGAAGAUGUUGUUGCCUACGCCUCCAUCAGCUACACCAAGAAGGGCAACAGUAGAGCUCAGGCUGAUGGAGAUAAAGAAGGUGAAGGUGUGACGUACAGCACUGUGAAAGUCCCCUCCUCUGACACUGAAGCCUCUGUUCACCCCAGCAGCCCGUACGCCACCGUCAACAAACCAAACAAGAGAGAGACAACAGGAUAGUUACAGCUCAUGUCACUAAUCUUGAUAGACCAAUGAAUGUGACUCCUUCCCCUGCAGCUCUUACAUGUGUCUUUAAUUUAAUCUUCAUUACUCUCUCGUUGUGUUUUGUGCAUUUUGUGGAUACUUUCUCAGAGUUCUUGCAGAGUUUCUACACACAUGUGAACAUCAAAUAGAUGUGUGAAUAGUUAAAAAGUUGAUAAGAUGUAUUCUUUAUUGGUGUAACUUAUCAUUGUAUUACCUGUAUUUGUUUCAUAUGCAAUAAUUUAAGCAUGUAGUUAACUUGGAAAUAAAAGAGGUGGCUGGAGAGGAUGAGAGGAAGUGGUUUGUGACAUCCGUUAUCGACACUGAAGUUAAAAAAAGAGUCACACUAAACUGAAAACUGAGAAAACCA